AUCUCACACCUCCUGCCAGCAAAAUCCAGCCACCCAUAACCCCAGACCUGGAAACACGGUUGCUGAAUAUUGUUUUAAGACGUCUCAUAGGAAAUGGACCUGAACGGCAACUAGAAAUCUGUGAUAAGACCCUAUAUAGACAAGCUUCCAUGGCUUUUGCAGCAAUGCUUAAGGGCUUGUUGGCUGAGGCACCAACAAUAGAGCAUCUCCAUAACAUCCUGGGGCAUUUCACAAAGUACAUAACAUCCAACAAUCGUCUAGAAAAAGUCCAGGCUAUCAAGGCCACCAAUUAUCUACUUAUGGAAGCUUAUCAUAA